rnacentral:tRNA from 1 species
GAGCACUUGACUUUUAAUCAAGGUGUCCGGGGUUCGAGUCCCCGAUGACUCACCA